UUUAGGGAUCAAGUGUUCACUGUAUUGUGCUUGCUGCAACAUACUGAUGUUCAAUGGCGAGGCUGAGUGGUGAAAUGGCAUAAUCUAAGGCUAUAUGAGCAUUAAUCUCCAUGCUCAGCUUGCCAAAUGGUUGCUAGGAGUACAUCCUUCUUUGACAGGUUUUCCUUGUGAGUGCCAUGUUUUUCCCUCGGAGUUUUGGGCUAAAUUCUCAGAAUGUUGUUGUUAUCGAGGUCAUGAUUCUGGUGUCAUCAAGGAUAGCUGACGCAGUUUCUUGUGGGUACCAUCCAUUCUCAACUACCAGCAUUUCCAACAGAGAUUUUUGAAGAUUCCAGUUCGCUUAAGGCCCAAGACACAUGACUCAACCAAUUAGCGGUGUGGGGAAGUAGUUCCAAUUAAGGUGUGACCGAAUAUAUUCGUACUCGAGCAUUUCUUUGUGGCAAAUGCUUGAUGAAGCUUGGUGAAUUUCUCGAGGCUGCGAAUUGCCACAAGAAAUGGGAGCGCUUGUGAAUGUCCAAUUUAGAUAUAAUUGUUUGUGAGUGUUUUGAGUGGUCAAUAUGUAUGGUAGUGUUUUGUAAAGCACAUUUUUUUUAGUGAUAAGGUAGGAUGUUAUUGGCUCCUUUGCUCAGGAGGGAUUAGAAAGUAAAUCGAUGCUUUCUUCUGAAGGCUAAUAUUGACAAAUGGUCAUGACUAGUGAUAAGCCUCUUCCUGUUCUCAGUUGUGAUGUACUCAAAUAAACUCCCAAACCGUCUUAUUAGGACGUGGUGCUUGCAAUAUAGUGGUUCUUGCUGAUGCA